UUUCCGUAGGUGAACCAGCGGAAGGAUCAUUACAGAGUUCAUUCCCAACAGGCUCGACCUCCCACCCUUCUGUAUUAUUUCUUUGUUGCUGUGCCGGGCUGCCCUUGGGCCCCGGGCGUUCACGCGUGAGCACGCGCGCCAGAGGAUACUAAUACUCUUGUUAUUACUGUCGUUUUAGUACUCUAGAAUAGUUAAAACUUUCAACAACGGAUCUCUUGGUUCUG
rnacentral:misc_RNA from 1 species